ACGGCUCCCCCCCCAUCCCGAUGCCCCCGGACCGCUGGUCCCGUGGGACCAAACGGAAACGGAAUCGGAGGCCCGGAUCAUGAGUUACGGCCGAAACCGGCAAAGCCUACUAAGCGGCCCCCGAUCUUGCCCUUUUUUCGCCGUUCAAACUGCCGCGCGGCUACCCCCCCAUCCCGAUGCCCCCGGACCGCUGGUCCCGUGGGACGAAACGGAAACGGAAUCGGGGGCCCCGAUCAUGAGUUACGGCCCCUUCUUUGCGGCCCCCGAGGUCGUGCGCUAUAGCCCCCCGGGCGCCCCCGCCGCCGACCGCACCCGCCCGAACCCGACCACCUCACCCGCCGUGUACCGAUCCCGCCCCGCGGUACCCCCCGGGGCAUGAACCGCCCACCGGGGGGCCGAAACCGGCAAAACAGGCCGAACGGCCCCGAUCUUACCCAUUUUUCGGCGAUCAAACCGCCGCACGGCUCCCCCCCCAUCCCGAUGCCCCCGGACCGCUGGUCCCGUGGGACCAAACGGAAACGGAAUCGGAGGCCCGGAUCAUGAGUUACGGCCGAAACCGGCAAAGCCUACUAAGCGGCCCCCGAUCUUGCCCAUUUUUCGCCGUUCAAACUGCCGCGCGGCUACCCCCCCAUCCCGAUGCCCCCGGACCGCUGGUCCCGUGGGACCAAACGGAAACGGAAUCGGGGGCCCCGAUCAUGAGUUACGGCCCCUUCUUUGCGGCCCCCGAGGCCGUGCGCUAUAGCCCCCCGGGCGCCCCCGCCGCCGACCGCACCCGCCCGAACCCGACCACCUCACCCGCCGUGUGCCGAUCCCGCCCCGCGGU
rnacentral:lncRNA from 1 species